UGGAGACAACACCGGUGAACCCUCUGC
rnacentral:piRNA from 1 species